UGGGGAAUUUUGGACGAAUUGGGGGCAACCGUCGAUCCAGCAAUGCCGCGUGUGUGAAGAAGGCCUUCGGGUUGUAAAGCACUUUUGUCCGGAAAGAAAACGUCGUGGUUAAUACCCGUGGCGGCUGACGGUACCGGAAGAAUAAGCACCGGCUAACUACGUGCCAGCAGCCGCGGUAAUACGUAGGGUGCAAGCGUUAAUCGGAAUUACUGGGCGUAAAGCGUGCGCAGGCGGUCCGCUAAGACAGAUGUGAAAUCCCCGGGCUUAACCUGGGAACUGCAUUUGUGACUGGCGGGCUAGAGUAUGGCAGAGGGGGGUAGAAUUCCACGUGUAGCAGUGAAAUGCGUAGAGAUGUGGAGGAAUACCGAUGGCGAAGGCAG
rnacentral:rRNA from 1 species